rnacentral:rRNA from 1 species
CACGUAGGGUGCGAGCGUUGUCCGGAAUUAUUGGGCGUAAAGAGCUCGUAGGCGGCGCGGUAAGUCGGGUGUGAAAUCUCGGAGCUUAACUCCGAAACUGCAUUCGAUACUGCCGUGCUUGAGGACUGGAGAGGAGACUGGAAUUUACGGUGUAGCGGUGAAAUGCGUAGAUAUCCGGAAGAACACCGGUGGCGAAGGCGGCCUGCUGGGCAGUUGCUGACGCUGAGGCGGCGACAGCGUGGGGAGCAAACAGG